GGGGACAUGAAGUCCAAGAAGCUUUUGCCCUUGCUCGAUUCUGCCCUCAGUCUCGGGCUCUGCUUCAUUGCUUUUAAUUGCAUGGGGAAUGCGACGGCGGGCUACGGAAACGAAGAGGGCUGAAACCAAGCCCUGAAUCAUUCUGCUUGGGUAACUGGGAAGCACGCAACAAUAGGAAAUAUGGAAACCACACAGGAUAAGAGUAUUAUAUGAUGACUUUCCACAUCAACCCUGGGACACUGGAAAGAGAAAGAGAAGUAUGUGGCAUACUGCUAGUUUUUGUCCAAAUAAGUCAACUGUCGGUUUUGCAGUUCCAUUGAAUGAAGGGAUGAAAGACGCAGAAGACUUCAUCAGUAACAACACUUUCCCACAAGAAAUCCUUUAUGUUCUGUUAGCCAAGAAGGUCAAACACUUCAACGAAUACCAGCUUUGAUAACCUAUGGUAAACUUUCUGCUUACCUGCCCCAGACAUCUGAUUGCUGCUUUUCCACACAUCUAAAACAUAAUGACAUUCCUGCCCUGAAAAAUUGACAAUAUGAUGGUGGUGAAACAGAGGAAGAAAACAAGCUAUUGUUGAGGCUGGAAGUGUCUGCAGCCAAGAAUAACAAAGAUCUCUCUGGUGCCACUUCUUUCAUCAAUGUUCUUAUUCCUUUCUAUUGUGUGCCACUACUCUGAAAAUUUAUUAUGAGCCUAGAGCAACAAAAUAACAUAAAAAAUAAUAUUGAUGAGCCAACACAAACUUCCAAAUGUCAGGCAAGGCUUUCCUCUGACUAGACAUGAUGUGAACAAAGAGAAUAAAACAAGAUGUUCUAUAACAAUGUCUAUAUAAUGAUUUUUUUUUAACAGAACAUGUGAUGUCUGACAAUCCUAAGAGAUUUCAUCUGUCAGCCUUUAUACAAACAUAAAAUUUAAUUUCAAACUUCAUUUCAUCCUAAGAAUCGAUUGCAAGCUGCCAUCACAAGCCUUUCUCAGGGAGAUAUUAGCUUAGCAAUGACCUUGCAGCACAUAAGAAACUAAAGAGCUUGUGAGAGCUUGUUUGAUCUUCACCCAGACAGUCUGAGACAGAGAAAAUUCCCAUCCAUUCUUAAUAGAAACAAGAGCAGGGUUUUACUUUAGAGGUGUCUUUUAAAGCACAAAGAGAGGUGAUAAGCUUUCCACAGUUUCUCAAGUCCUAGUAGUAAUUAACUAAAUAACUAAAAUCCACAUUUGCUAUUAUAAGUGGGAUGUUUAAUUAUCCAGUUCUUCUUCUGUUGCCAACUAAUCUCCUAGUUCAGAAUCUUUAUGAUGCACAUCCUUAUGCACAAUUGACCCCUUCACUGAACUGAAUACAGAUACCCUUACAAGUGAAGGAAC